AGAGAGAGAGAGGGAAAUAAAGAGAGAGAGAGAGAGACAGAGAGAGAGAGAGAAAGAGACAGAGAUGCCCGCUCCUCGUUGAUUGCAGCUGAUAUACAUCAAUAUUUAACACUGGCAGGUUGUAAAAAUCGAGGCAACGGCUACUUCAGUUCUUAGCACCUGCAAUCGAAAAGGCAUCUCCACAUCAUCAGCUUUAUUAAGCUGUAAAAUGCGUAACGGAUUAAAUGUGUAGCACGACGAAACGAAAAUACCCUUUCAAAUUCAAUUUCUCUUAUAUUACACAAGCAAGAUGCGGCUCGCAUAAGAAAUUCACAUAUUCUUAACAUGAGAACCGUUGAGAAAAGAGAAACAGCCAAACCUAAGCCCACAAUAAACCAUAUAAAAUAAAAUAAUAACAAUUACAGAAUUUUGGAUCCGAAAAGCAACAAGAGCUAUAGAGCUACUCCGAAUGGUUCACAAUUGAAUCGGUGGUUCUGCUUGGGAUUGGUUAAAGCUUAUGGCAAAAUGUCAACGCUCUGGCAAAAAAAAAAAUAAUCUUAAAUAAAGCCUUACACAGCUGCGCUCUGGUCUGUCAGGGCUAAUUGAUUACGCGCUCGAGCUGCUACCGAAGGGUACGCCAAAAACCAGAAAACAUAGACUUACACUGGGACCCUGCUCUGAUGCAGAUGAUUCCCAGACGUAACGCCGGCCCGGCCCAGCCCCGUCUGAUCUGGCUUGGCCCAAACAGCGUGUGAAGUCGGCACGAAGCCUUGACAGCUGACCGAUGCUUGGGAAUCCAAUGUGGCACCUGAGCUACGCAUUGAUUGAGAACUGAAAGCGUGGAGUGCAUUGCGCAUACGCCGCGUGCAUCAAUGUUGAAUGGACGUCGACAGACGUCAACAACUGCUGCAACUCGAUAUGAAACAAUUUUUAAUAAUUGACAAUUAAACUAACAAUAAUUGACAAUAAAUAUUAAAGUGGCGCUGCAA